UACAGAGGGGGCAAGCGUUAUUCGGAAUUAUUGGGCGUAAAGGGCGCGUAGGCGGCUUUGCAAGUGACGGGUGAAAUCCCUCGGCUUAACCGAGGAGCUGCCUGUCAGACUGCAUGGCUUGAGACCAGGAGAGGUGAGUGGAAUUCCCAGUGUAGCGGUGAAAUGCGUAGAUAUUGGGAGGAACACCAGUGGCGAAGGCGGCUCACUGGACUGGUACUGACGCUGAGACGCGAAAGCGUGGGGGAGCAAACAGG
rnacentral:rRNA from 1 species